GGAGAUGUGGCUCAGUGGUAGAGUACUUGCUAACAUGUGCAAGGCCCUGGGUUCCAUCUCCA
rnacentral:tRNA from 1 species